rnacentral:rRNA from 1 species
GAUGAACGCUGGCGGCGUGCCUAAUACAUGCAAGUCGAGCGAACAGACGAGGAGCUUGCUCCUCUGACGUUAGCGGCGGACGGGUGAGUAACACGUGGAUAACCUACCUAUAAGACUGGGAUAACUUCGGGAAACCGGAGCUAAUACCGGAUAAUAUAUUGAACCGCAUGGUUCAAUAGUGAAAGACGGUUUUGCUGUCACUUAUAGAUGGAUCCGCGCCGCAUUAGCUAGUUGGUAAGGUAACGGCUUACCAAGGCGACGAUGCGUAGCCGACGUGAGAGGGUGAUCGGCGACACUGGAACGGAGACACGGUCCAGAGUCCUACGGGAGGCAGCAGUAGGGAAUCUUCCGCAAUGGGCGAAAGCCUGACGGAGCAACGCCGCGUGAGUGAUGAAGGUCUUCGGAUCGUAAAACUCUGUUAUUAGGGAAGAACAAAUGUGUAAGUAACUAUGCACGUCUUGACGGUACCUAAUCAGAAAGCCACGGCUAACUACGUG